GAUUAUCUUCCUUGGUCUUUGAAUCUACUCUCAUUCAGCGGAUCCAGCUGAAGCAAUGACCAGCUGAGUAUGCCACGUUCACAUUACAGCUCUGGCUGUGUGGCCUCUGUCAGGAUUAUCGUCAGUAAUAAGAGGUUAUGCCUAAUCUGAGUGAUGGACCAAAAUCUGAAGAAUGUACCUUAACUAAAGUAGUAUUUUAUAAAACCUUAUGGUGCUGCAGAAAAUAGUCCCUUAAUUCAUGCAUUCUGACACAUCAGCGUGGAGACAGUUCAGGUAACAGUCUGAAGUCACUGUGCUCGGCGCUGGUGGGUCAGUGCCGCUUCCUUCUCACCUGGCCAGCGUUCUGCUUCUCAGUCAUCUCAUCACUCACGCCUGGUACAGGCGCCACAAGGACCUGGGGUGGGAGAGUUCAGUAGUCAGUAGUGUGCACAACGCAAAUAAAAGCACUGUUUUGGAUUAAUUUUUAAGUUAAUCAUUUUUAAAAUGUAACGUUUUGUUAAUUUCAUUCCUAAAAACAUGAGUGAAACCCUGCUGAAAGUGAUGGGUGACUGGAUCUCCAUGUGACUUCCAGAAGGUUAGGCUCAGGCUGAACCCCAGGCUGUGGCAGUGGAGGACUCUGCUGACGCAGAGGGCUGCUGGCCACACAGCUGGCUUUUCAGCCGCCUCCACUCCUGCCUGUCCCCAGGGUCCCCUCACCUGCUGCUGCUCUGACAGUGGAGAGGACAGGCUCUCAAUCUGCAGCAGGCACAGUGCCCGGUGCUUCUGUGUAUGCAGGGUCACUGAGGCAGGGUCAGGUUAGCAUGAUGGGGUCAGAUGUUCGCAGUGUGUGGCAGCUGCCUGGAGGGGUCACGGCGUGUUUGCGAGUGGCAGCAGUAGCUGUCGUGAGACGUGCCUGGCGCACACAGCUGUCUAGUGGCAGGAGAUGUGCAUUGGUAUCAGGUCCAGGGCUGGGGGCACAAUUUUGGGUCAGCCGCCAAGAACAUGACAUCGUUUUUGUUCUUUCUGAACCCACUAAUCAAAAGUAGGGUAACAGGUUUCUGUUGAAAUGUGUAAUAGAAUAUGUGCAAUUUUUAUAUUUUUAUGAUUUUAAAAAUAGUUACUAGAGGGCCGGGGAUUUAGCUCAGUGGUUCCGCCGCCUUCCUCGAAAGCGCAAGGUCCUGAGUUCCAUCCCUGGUACCAAAAAAAGAAAGAAUAGAUACAAAGAACUGUAGAUCAGUAUAUAGUCUACCUAGACUCAUUGAAUGUUUUAAGUUCUAAAUCAGGCCCGUCAGCCUUUUCUGCAUCUUAGGGGGUGGUCCUCAGGUAGGGAGGCUGAGCUCCGUGGCCAGACUCCUUAUCUUUCCUCUUAGCCAUCGUUCAGUCAGGGAAGGGCAGCACCUGGCCACAGAGCUCUGAGAGGAAGCUCAGCUAGGUGAGUUUUGUGCCUGGCAUCUUUGCUGAGAGUGGAGACCUGGAGGAAUAAGAGGCCACAGGAAAGGGGAGGAGCUCAGGCCCCACCAGAGUAGUCCCUGGGGAGGUGGGAGACAGGCCUGGGGGUUGGAGGGGCCAUGGUGUCCCGCAGAGAAGCUGCAUGGCAAAGCUGAGCCCUUGGGCAGUGCGCAUGUGCCGGGCAGGAGUGUCCUUUAACAGUGUUAGGCCAUCAGCUGCCAGAACAGUCAUGGUAAAAGUGCAGUGUUUCAUUUUUCCUUUAUUUUUAUUUCAUAUCAGUAAUAUUUCUCAAAUACUGAAGUCUUUGUCUUUUUUUAUGGACAAACGUCAUAUUUGUCUCAAGAUUGUGAGCCACUGAAAGUGCACUGAAUUUAUACACGUGUCUUAAGGUAUUCUGCUGUGUUAAAAUGUUAGGAGAAAAAAAUGUAACUGAGUAACACUUUAACAGGCAUUUAUUACCUUAUUUCGGAGUUGAAUUCUGUAAUUUGAAUGUGUUAAACAUGUAAUAAAUACAGUGAUCUGUACUUUU
rnacentral:lncRNA from 1 species